GAGCCCGGCUUGCCUGGAACAGUAGGACAAAACGGAAUACCAGGGCCAAAGGGAGAACCUGGAGAUCAAGGCGAAAAGGGAGAAGCUGGAGAGAAUGGCC